UACGAAGGGGGCUAGCGUUGCUCGGAAUCACUGGGCGUAAAGCGCACGUAGGCGGCUUCUUAAGUCAGGGGUGAAAUCCUGGAGCUCAACUCCAGAACUGCCUUUGAUACUGAGGAGCUUGAGUCCGGGAGAGGUGAGUGGAACUGCGAGUGUAGAGGUGAAAUUCGUAGAUAUUCGCAAGAACACCAGUGGCGAAGGCGGUUCUCUGGGCCUUACCUGACGCUGAGGAGCGAAAGCGUGGGGAGCGAACAGG
rnacentral:rRNA from 1 species